CCAGCAUUUGCUUCUUCACAGAUAGGAUCACAAAGUGGUGUUGUGAGAUACGACGAGUUCUUCGACAAGUUCUUCUGCAGCUUUUCACAGGUACAAGAUGGUGACGUUAGCAAGGUUACCCUUCCGGCUUGGCCUGGGCAGGGUUAUGGAUGCCGCUGGUUAUCUUCAGGACUCUUAGUCCAAUUUGUAUCUUGUCCGUACUCGGACGUAUUCGAUCUUCUGUAUGAUUUGGAUCUUUGUAUUGUAUAUUUGUAUCUUGACUCGUUGGAGUCGUUGUUGUAAUAUAUGUUUCUUGUGGGCUCUAUUGUAAUCCUGUUGUAAUGUUA